AGCACUUCCAGGAUUGGUCUCCUGCUGCUGAUGCACAUGCAGUGCUCUGCCCCAGGAAAACUGGAAACACUGCUCUGGGAGAAUGCCUCCCACAGCCACCUGCUCCUCUCGUGUCCACACACGUGGUGAUCCGGCAGGACGAAGAGAUUAGUGUGGGAAGGCGCUUCUGUCUGCCAUGCACUUUGCCCAGCUCUCAGCAGGUCCAAAGCCUUCUCGAACCUCCACAGGCAGAGUGAAGCAGUUCUACCCUGAGUACCAGCGUACCUUGUUAAUGCCUCUCUUACACCACUUGUUACAUGCCCGGAACCGCUUGUUUACAGAUCUCGCUUUAUCACUGGACCGAGACUUCUGGAGGGCAAGGGCUAGAACUCUUGUACUGAGCACAGCGAUUGCCAAAAUUAAUAAAUGCCCAUGGCACUAA